rnacentral:rRNA from 1 species
AAGUGAAACGCCGUAGCGCCGAUGGUAGUGUGGGGUCUCCCCAUGCGAGAGUAGGGAACUGCCAGGCAUCAAUUUAGUGAAGAAGCCCAUCCUGACGGAUGGGCUUUUUUGCGUGUGCGGUAACUGUAAAAAUGUAGGCCUGAUAAGCGCAGCGCCAUCAGGCAACCUGCACCGCCGGAUGGCAGCUUCGCCUUAUCCGGCCUACGGCAUCGACAUAAUGCCUGUGUAUACCGCCUUAUUCCGUCGACAUAACCACAAGCCUUCCCAAC